AAGUCGUAACAAGUACUCCGUAGGUGAAUCCUGCUGGAGGGAUCAUUAACAGAGAACAUCAGCCCGUCGAGCGGGUUGACUCAGUCCAACCCUAUGUUAUGACGAACCUUUGUUGCUUUGGCGAGCCGCCAUCGGCCGCUGGCUUCGGCUAGCAAGUGCUCGCCAGAGGACCCCAAACUCUGAAUAUUAAUGUCGUCUGAGUACUAUAUAUAGUUAAA
rnacentral:misc_RNA from 1 species